rnacentral:rRNA from 1 species
UUGAUCUCAAAUCAGGUAGGACUACCCGCUGAACUUAAGCAUAUCAAUAAGCGGAGGAAAAGAAACUAACAAGGAUUCCCCUAGUAACUGCGAGUGAAGCGGGAAGAGCUCAAAUUUAAAAUCUGGCGUGCCUAUGGUCGUCCGAGUUGUAGUCUGGAGAAGUGUUUUCCGUGUUGGACCGUGUAUAAGUCUCUUGGAACA